UACGUAGGGUGCGAGCGUUGUCCGGAAUUAUUGGGCGUAAAGAGCUCGUAGGCGGUCUGUCGCGUCGGAUGUGAAAAUCCAGGGCUCAACCCUGGACCUGCAUUCGAUACGGGCAGACUAGAGGUUCGGGCAGGGGAGACUGGAAUUCCUGGUGAUAGCGGUGAAAUGCGCAGAUAUCAGGAGGAACACCGGUGGGCGAAAGGCGGGUC
rnacentral:rRNA from 1 species